GGGGGUGGAUUGGGCCUGGUGGCCUGCUCGGUCUUCAAAACCGCAGGGAGGCGCCAGCGGCGACUCCGGUGGGUUCGAUUCCCACACGCUCCC
rnacentral:tRNA from 1 species